rnacentral:lncRNA from 1 species
UUUUAUUAAAAUAUAAAAAAAAAGGAAUUUUUUAAAAUAAAAGUUAAGAGAAAGGACAAGAGAAAAUAUUUAAUUGAGAUGGAGAUAGUAUGGUAUAAUCAACCAUGAGGGUUGGGAACGAGGAUUAGAUUUCGAAGUUUGUGGAUUGAGUUAGGGUUAGAAGGAUGAAGAAAAAAAAGGUUUGGAUUUAGAAUUUGUGGAAAGACGAUAAAUUUUUGGAUGAGAAAUCGGUCCAGAUAGGUUUGAUUUGAUGAUUUUUAAAUGAAGGUUGAAGAUGAGAUUCAUAAGGAAAUGGAGUUAUGAGUUUGAUAUUCUGGAUUUGUUGUUUGUUGGUUGAAAGAAGUUAUUAAGAAGGAUGAAUUUGUUUGUAAUUUUGGUUGAAGGUCUUCGAAUGUCCUGGGUUUGGGAUGAAGAUUCAGAAAGAUGUUCUUAGCAUAUGAAUUUCUAGGUUUGUUUUUGUGGUUUCUUGAAGAGGUGAAGUUUUGGGUUUGAUUUUUUGAAUUUGUUGGUUGUGGAUGGAAGGAAUUUGUUAGGAAAGAUGAAUGUGUUUGAAAUUUUAGUUGAAAUUUUUGAUUUAGUUGAGGUUGUGGAUAAAGGUUCAGAAAGAUCUGUUUGAAGAUAUGAGUGUCUGGGUUCGUUUGAAUUUUUUGAGCUAUUCUUGAAUUUUGGUGGUUGUUCUUGAGGUUUAUGAGAACUAAGAUGAAUAUGGAUGAAUUUUUGAAAAUGAUAUAUGAAUGUAGGGUGAGAGGAUUUGAAGGUAAAAAUAGAGAAAAAAAAGGGAAGAGAGAGAAAUGAAAUAUGAAAUAAUGAGAUAGGAUAAGAAUGAAUAUGAGUUUAGAUGUGAAAGGAUAAGAGUGAAAUCUUGGAGAACCAGUAAGGAGAUGAUACGAGAAUGGAGACAUGAAUGAAUGAUAGUUGACAGAAGAGAAUCCUGAGCAACAAAUGGGAAUGGAGAUUUGUUGAUUGUGAUGUUGUUGUCAUUGAUGUCUCAAAAAUUAAUAAAUAUUUGUCAAAUUAAAAUUAAAAUUUAAAAGUAUUUUAUAAUUGACAUAUUUAUUAUUUGUUAAUAAAGAAGAUGUAGUAAUUUAUUUAAAAUAAACUUGAAGUUAUUAAAUUUAUUAUUUAAUUUUGGAAGUUAUUAAAUUUAUUAUUUAAUUUUGGAAGUUAGUAAAUAAAAAAUAUAAAGUGGAACUUUGGUAGUAUUUUUAUAAUUAAAAUUAAAUUAAUUCAAAUACGGUGGUUACAAUUAUGAUUACAAAUUUAUGUUCAUAAAAUUAGAUGAUAAUAUUUUUUAAUAUUUUAAAAAUCUUAUAUAUUUGUUAAAUAUUUUAUUAUAAAAUAGAUGCAGAAUAUUGGUUUAUUAUGUAUAUCUUUAUUCAAAAGAUAAGAAAAAAAUAUUUUCAAAAUAUUCUAUUUUGAAGUUUAUAAUCUAUAAUUCACUAAUGACAAAAAAAAACUUCAUUAUCUUAUAAUAUUAACAAUAUAUUAGAAUUUUAUAGAAAACCUUAAAAUUACAAAUAUUGUAACACAUUAAAACCUAAUCAAUUGUAUUAAACUUUAAAUUUAUGCUAAGAUGUUACUUUAUUUUUUAAUCUAUAUCUUUUGAUUUUAAUUAAAAAAUAAAUUUAAUUGAUAUACACCGUUAAUAUAAAAGAAUUUUACACAGUCAAUAAAUUAUAACCGUUGAAUAUUGAGACAAGUUUGAUUUUUAUUUUUAAAAUUUAUAAAAUAAUACAAACGGAUGAUGAUGAUGAAUUGAUAGUGUAAAAUUUUUUACACUAACAUUGCAUAUUAAUUAAUCUCUUAAAAAAUUUACCAUUAAAUCAAUAAAUACAUGAAUGGAUGGAGCAAAAAUUUAUAAUAAAGUGAUAGUUACUCUGAGUCAAAUAUAAUAAAAUUUUAAUAAUUUUUUUAUCGUGGAAAUGAUAUCAAACUGGAAAAAAUUAUGGAUCUAAAUAUCAAAAAAUGAAAAUUUAUGGACUGUUUUUUUAAAUAUCAUCAAAUAUCAUAAGACUCAUUCACUGUGGUAGUAAAUAAUUUCUUUAAAGACUAAUAAAUUUUGAUUUCAGUUAAUGCUUCUAUGAUUAAUAUUUUUUAGUUUUAACAAUUUUUGUUGCAUAUUAUUUAUUGUAGUUUAAAUCAAUUUAUUGUUCUUUAAUAUUUUAUAAUAAGAUUUCAGUUAUUUAUUGUUACAUACUAUUUAUAGCCAAAUAUUAUAAAUGAUAGUAAUUUAUUAUUUAUAAUAAUAUGAUUUCACUUAUUUAUUGUUACAUACUAUUUAUUUUUUAAUUUGAUUUCAGUUUAUAUGAUUUAAAUUUUUAAUAAACGGUAUUAUUUUUAUAAAGAAAAAAUAAUAUAUUAUUGAUACAAAUACUUUUAUAAAUUAGAAAAUGUGUAGUGUUGAUAAAAUAUUUUUAUGAACAAAAAAUAUAUAUAGUUGAUAUAAAUACUUUAAUAAACGAAAAAAAGUUUAAUGUUUAUUAUAAAUAGAAAAAAAAAAGUAUAUUAUUGAUAUAAAUACUUUUAUAAACAACAAUUUUUUAUAUACGGUUCAUCUAAAUUUUUUAUGAAUGGUAUUAAAAUAAAAAUAACUUUUAUAUAUGUAAAAAAUAUAUUGUUGAUUCAAAUAUUUUAAUACACAAUGUUUCUUUUAUAAAAGAGAAAAAAUUUAUUAUCAAUUCAAAUAUUUUUAUAAAUAAUAUUAAAACAAAAUAACGUUUAUAUAUGAAAAAAGUCUACUGUUAAUCCAAAAAAUGUUAAUUUUCCACGUAAAAUUUUCUAAUACAACUUUAAUAAAACAAAACCUUUUAAUAUUGAUCAGUUUUAUGAGAAAAAACACAUUCAUCUAUUCCACAACAAAAACAACAACUUCCGCAUAGAAAGUGUUACAUAAGUACUCUCCAACACUUAAUGCUCCUAUUCAAACACAAUUUUAAAAAUUUGUUCAUUGAACUGACGAUGAAAAGUUGAAAACAUAUAUAAAAAAAAUGCUUUGUUGAGUUUCUUUUCUCCUUCAACUUGAAUCAAAGUCCAAGUACAUUCUAUAAGCAUUUCUAUCCGAAGAGUAGUAACUUUCAACCAAACAAUCAACUUGGAAACCAUGCUUCUUGUACAGAUUCAGUGCAGGGGUUCUCAACGGAUCCACGUGAAGCAUUAUACAGGAAACUUUUCUUGUCCUGCAUUUUUCGAUUGCCGCUUUCAAUAGAACCUCUCCGUGUCCUUGCCUCCUCCAUUGCUCUUUCACUAAAAGAAAACCAAAACAUCUCAUUGGCUCAAUCCAAGCAUUUUUCAUUAGUAAAGAAAACAAUUUGAAAUACCAAAACACUCUUAGGCAAUUUUUCAAACAGCUUAUAGGCAUAAACUGAUAGCAUACAAAAGAUGAAACUUUAAAUGAAACUAUUAGUUUAUGACCUUGGAUCAAUGUGAUAAACAUGAAGUAAAAAGGUGGGGUUGGAACCUGCGAGUUUGGUGAUAGAAGCAUAUAACGAGGAAGGCCAGGAAUACAUGACAUAGCCUGCAAGUUCGCCAUCCACGUGAAGAUAGAGCAAUCCACUGUUCUUCUUUUUCAAUUCAUUUUCAAAGAAGGAAGCGAGUGAUUCGUGUUUUGGAAAGAUCUUUCUCUCCAAUUUCACUAUCUCUGCCACAACCUUACCACAAUUUUUGUCAAGUUCGCUAAUCGCCACAUUAGCCAUGACUCGCGAGUAAGUUAAAAUAAAUCUUCUGGUUCUAUUUCUCUACACACCAGAAUGUUUUAGAGGAUAUUAAUAUUGAAUUAUAGUUAAAAGAACUCAUUUUUCUUUUAUUUGUAAAAUUCAAUUAAAAACUUCUAUAAGUAAAAUAUUUUUUUAUUUUUCAAAUGACAACCGUUACUAUCAUAAUAGAUAAUGUAAUCUACUUUUUUUAAUAUAUGAAAGUUCAUACCCGCCAUUUUUACAUCUAAAUCCAAAUUAAAUUUGAUUAAACAUCUAUUUUUAUUCCCUUACAUGUAAUUUCAAUCCUAAUCUUUUAACAUAACAUCCUGAAUAAUAUACAUUUACAAAAUAUAUUAUACGCAAGGUUAAUUGUUAUUGAUAUAACAUAAGAGUCUAUCAACCUUCAUUAUAUAUACAUGCCCAAACAAAAAUAUACAACUAUACAUGAUAUACAAGAGUGCUUAACCAAAAACUAACAUAUAUAUACAAUAUCCACAUUGCACAUAAUCCACAGUGAAGGAUUACGAUAACGAAAGUCUUCGAAACAUCAUCAGACAAUCUUGUACUUGUUUUUAACCUGCAAAGAAUCGUCGGAAAAACAACAACAAUAAUGGGGUGAGAUGAUAAUCUCAGUGAGUUCCCAUAUCCUAUGAGUCAACGCUGUAACAUCCUGAGUUCAAUCAUUUGAUUUAAUCAAAUUGUUUAAGAUUUUAUUCAAAUUAAUUGUCCCGCUAAAUUGUUUAUGAUGUAGUGGUAGGGCAAGUGUCAUUGAAAUAGAGGUAUAGGGAGAGUAUGAGUCGGGCACUGGUGUUUAGAAUUAUUAGAGUUUUAAUGAAUUUUAAAAUAAUAUUUAUAUUUAUUUUAUAAUUAAAAUAAUGAGGAAAAUUAGAUGUGUAGAAGAAGUGGGGGCAUGGUUGGGAAUAAGGAAGAUAUGGAGGAUAGAAUGGGGAAUACAAUGGUAAGAUGGGGGUAUUAUAGGAAGAGACCAUUUUGAAAGGAAAUAAGUCUUGAAAACAAAUAGAGAAUUGAGAACCUAGAGAGUCAUAACGUGUUUUUCGGAGUUAGAUCAAAAGAGGAAAAAAGGAAGAGCAAAGGCUUAAGAUUGAAGAACUCAAGGAAAUCAAAGGUUUUUUUGGAUGGAAAUCAGGUAAGGGGGAGAUGUGCUUAUUUAAAGGAUGUUAGAACAUGUGGGGUAGAUGGAGGAACCCUUAACUUCCUUAGGAUUGGGUAUUGUAGAUCUAAAUUCUGAUGUCGUGUUAUCACUUUUGAUUGUAUGAUGAAUUAGGGUGAAAUUUGUGUAUUAUAUGGAUGUAUAUGAUGUUUUGAUGUGGUUGGUCAUGAUAUGCCAUUGAUUGAUGUUUUGAAGGUUUUUAACCUUGAUUGUGUUCUUGAUAAUUUAAAGAUGAUGAUGAUGAGAAAACUAGGUAAGGAAGUUGGAUAUGCAAGGGGAAGGUAUUAACACUCAUUACAUUCGUUAUACUCAACGACAACCGUUUUGAUUGUUCUUGCUUGAAUGGAUGGUAUUCUAAGGUUACUCGCGAAAGCAUAAGGGGAAAAGAAAAAGAAUAGAUAAAGUGCUCAAAGAAGAUUAUGGCUCUCAUGCCUACGUAUCCUUAUAGUGCAAUAAGGAAUUCAUAGCUUUGUAGUUCAUAGAACUAAUGGUGGGAGGUGAAAAGAGAAUGAUAACAAAUAUGGUUUGAACCAAAGGAUAUUGUGGUUUGACUCCAAAAAGGGAAGAAAUCCGAGCCCAAGAGUAAAAUUGGCAUUAACCAAUAUGUAAGUAGCCUGAAGCAUUCUCCACUAUAUGGUACGGCCGAAAACAAAUAGAAUUAAAUGUUUGGUUUCAUAGACAAACAACUCUUGGCUCACAAGCAGACAUAAGAUGAAGCUCAAAGAAAUGGUGUAUUUGACUCAAAGAUAAUAGUAUAUCACAUGAAGUGAAUGAAUGUAAAAUUAUGAAUGCAUCAUGGAAAUGAAUGGAGGAAUAGAGGAAGAAUGAAUAAAUAUGUUCGCAGAGGAUUCAGACCCUCGUGCCUACGUAUUCUUAUCGUGCAAUUAUAAAGUCAGAGCUUCAUAGUUCGUGGAACUAAUGCGGCAUAAGGAAACGAUUGAUUGGAUUACUCAGAGGCAAAGCAAAUUGCUUAACAAGUAAGAGUGUGGCAUUAACCUAAUGGUGGUAAUCAACCAUAGUGACAAAUGAGAUACGAUUUACCUACACACAAGAGGAUUUAUAAGACAAUAGAGAUUUGUCUAAGCACAAGAGAUCUUAUAAGAUGAGCAAUGAAUAAGAGGUGACUUUCCACUACACAAGAGGAUUUACAAGGCAAAAGAGCUCAACGGGUUCUCCUAAGCACGAGAGGUCUUAGAAGGAGAACAAUGAAUAUGAGAUAAGUUUCCAACACAAGAGAGGGUUUACAAGGCAAAAGAGCUCAAGAGAGUUGUCUAAGCACGAGAGGUCUUAUAAGACAAAUAAUGAUUGGGGGUUUGUCAAAGAACAAGAGGACUGAUAAGGAAAACAAUGAUUGAUUAGAGUAGGCCUAAGCACAAAGGGACUAACAAGGCUCAUAAUGAUUGAAUAUGGUUUGCCAAAGCACAAGAGGACUGAUAAUGCAAACAAUGAUUGUAUUGAUUGAUUUAGGAUUCAAAGACUACCAAGGAUAUUUGAAUAUCAAAGAGAUUAUGAUUGGUGAUCCAAAGAGGGAAGAGAAUGAUUGAUGUGCUAGCUUGAAGAAGACUUGUCAAUUAUAUGAUUCAAAUUGCACUAAAAUCUAUGAGCAAAGGUGAAUACCUUGAGCAACUGAGUCAUUCGUCCCAUACCUAAAGAUACCCUAUACAAGGAUAGGAAUUCUCCACUCUCAUUAUUCUUUGUUACUUAAGGCUCAUGGCUUAAAACUUGAAUCAGAAUUGACAAGUUGCUAAUAGGAGAUCUUGAUGAUUAAUCUUGAUGAUGCAAUGCUACUUAUUGUAGAAGAAGACUUGACAAUUAUUUUAUUUGAAUUGUGCUAAAAUCUAUGAAUAAAGGGGAAUAUGAUGAGCAACUGGGUCAUUUGUCCCGUACCCAAAGAUAUUCAAAAUGAGUUAAUGGAAUUAUCCACUCUCAUUUAUUCUCUAUUUCUUAAGGCUCGUGCCACACAAUCUGAAUUAUGAUUGACAAGUGUUGAUACCUUUGAUGUGCUUGAGAAGUAGUCCACUUUGUCAGUUAUGCUUGAUUGGUGUUGACUUUGAAGUCUUGAUCUUAGAUUUGAACCUUGAGGUCUUGAGCUUCUAAGAUCCAGCAUAUCGAAUAUAGCUUAAGCACAAUGGGAUUGCCGUAUUAAGUGAUCAAGAGUCUUUUGAUCCCUUGAAUAGGCUUGGGGAUUACAAUACAAUACAAAGGAUUUGGUUGACCAAAGUGACCUUUGGUCAACACUAAUAAUCAGUGGGAUUGAAAUUAUAGUUGAAACAAGUACACAACAAAUUUAAAGAUUAAUAGUCAAUUUACACCAGAUGAUCUUUAGCGGGCCCUAAAACUAGGGGGACAUGCAUCUCAAGAUUUUAAAAUCCUAAGUACCAAGGUUAAUUGCACAAUCAAGAUCUAGUUACAAAUAAACAACCCUAAUUAUCUAAUUAUAUUUUAAUCAAACUUAGAAUCUAAUUAUCACCAAACUAAUUCUAAAAUCCUAAGCAAAUUCUAAAAUCCUAAUCAACCUCUAAUUUAAUUAAGAUCUAAAACCUAAUUAAUCUAAUCAACUCUAGAAGUUUAACGAACCUAAAAUUCCAAAUCUUCCUAAUUAAGUUCUAUAUUUCUAAUCAAUCAUAGAAAUCUAAAAUUUCCAACGAACCUAAUAUUCUAAUCAACAUCUAAAUAAAAUAUAAAAUUCUAGUCUAAAUCUAAAAUCCUAAUUAACCUUAAAAUUAUAAAAUUCUAAAGAUUCUACUCCAAUUCUAAUUAAUCUAAAUAAAUUUAAAUAAAUUAAAUGAAUAAAUUAGGAAAGGGCCAGGGGUGUAGGCCAAAUGUGUCGGGGUAGAGUGGACAUAGGUAUGCAACCCGUUUGGGCCUUGGGCCAAAAUCGGGUCUAAGCUGCGAUGCAUUUGAGAAAAUUUUACCUUGUACCCCUACAAUUAGCCCCAUACCCCUAUAAAAUUUUAAAAAUUCCCAUUUUAUCCUUAAUUGGUUUUAACCAAUUUACCAUUUCAUUUUUACCAUUCAGUUGAAAAUUUCAGAAAUUACACUUUCACACCCCUCGCACCGGAACUCCUGCAAAAAGACUUCCGGUAUGUAUUUUUUCAAAUCGGAAGACUUUAGGAAUGACUUCCGGAACACACAAAAAAGCAAACCGGAACACUUCAUGAAAGAGUUCCGGUUCAAUUAAAAAAAAUUUACAAAUCCGGAACACUUCUUAAAAGAGUUCCGGUGAACAAAUUUUACAUACCGGAACUCUUUGGAGAAGUGUUCCGGUAUGUAUUAUGUGUGUUCCGGAAGUCUUUCUUUAAGUCUUCCGGUACGUUUUUUUUUUUUUUUUUAAUUUUUUUUUUGCAGAAAUGGAAAAUCUUCCCAAAAUAUGUGUAAAUACUACUGAUGCGUUUAUGACGACGGAAAGAUUUGGUACACGAGAAGAGGUUAUCAGAUGGAUUAAAGAGGUUGGAAUCGACAAUAAAGUAACUGUUAUUAUCAGUCGCUCCGAUACUGAAACGGGGAAGAGAGGGAGAAGUAACAAAAUAAUAUUUGGUUGUGAUAAAGGUGGGAAACACAAGAUUAGUGAUAGUGGUACCCAAAGUGCGUCCAAGAAAUGUGGAUGUCCAUUUAAAAUCAGGUCGACUUCGGCGAAAGAUGGAUCUGGUUGGAAGAUUGAUGUAAAAUGUGGGUUACAUAAUCAUGGUUUACCUGAUAGAUUAGAAGGUCAUUCGUUUAUU